CCGCCCCACCCUCCUUCUUCUUUGGUGUAAGAGCUUUUGCGACAAUUACGUGUGCAUUCCGCCACCUACUGUACAAGUGGAAAAUAAAGAUCCGAAAGGGAAAAAUGCGGGGUCCCUCCACAGGCCCAGAAGGAUCCUGUGAUGGCUGGACAUUUCCUGGCGACAAUAGUCCUUGCAGUGCUUCUGUGGUUAAGUCUUGGAGGCCCAAAAACUUCUCAGCUGCAGAUAUAAUGAUGUCCGCUUUCUUGGACUUCUUGGACAUUUGGCCAGUACAAUUAAUAACUGUGGCUAUAAAUGGUACAACAUCCACCUUCUUCACAAUAAAUGUAUCCAGACCACUUGAUUGAGAUAUACAAUAUCUUAUUCAGAACUCUCUUCACCGCCUCCACAUAGGAGAUUUGCUGUACAGCCCUGAUCCUUGACACCUCAACCUCUUUCACUCUAACAGGGCACUCAGGGAAUUCGGAAAUGUGAUCCCCGUCACAGUUGCAACAUUUUACAUUCAACUACUCCUGAUUGUCAAUGCCAGAGAUAACACCUUUAACUGGUGCCCUGCUCCGACAAUCAAAGCUGUCCACUUCCUGCGUUGAUAACUUUGCGAGCCACAAUGCAUGCUCCUUUUGCUCUUUUGAUAUAUACAAGAUAUCAACACCAUACCGCUCCUGGUUACUGUUUCUGUAUGAUAUGUUAGAUUAAAGAAUAAAGACAGACACAAAUGUCAAGUUCAAUAGCCAUGUUCAAGUAUUGUACAAGUCCCAGGGGAACAGCCCAGCUAGUUGAUUACCUAUCAACUAAACUCCGUAGCAUCAUCCUUUUCAAUAGAAAGUGCUAACGUAACAGCACAACAUUAAGUUCUUAACAGGCAAUUCAUAACAAAUGAAAAUACAUUACAUUUUCUUUUUACUUCAA